GAAAUUGAUAAUUUUCUUUGAAAUCAGAAAUUGAUUGUUUCUAUGUAAUGAAAAAAUUGAAUUAUUGAAAAUUGAUUAUUUGUUUGUUUUCUUUUUUCUCUUUUUCUUUCCCUUAUCUUUUUCCUGUUUUUCUAUUCUGUCCACCUUCCUGUCUCUGUUUUUCCGGGAUAUGCUACCAACUCGGACGAGUCCUGAAGACUUCGGAACAACACCACGAAGAAGCACUACUGACAAUGACCAUGAGAUACGGGAUGGUGUAAAGGUCGGUCUGCAGAUUGCCUGAUCUGCCUCACAACCAUCGAAAUGACUCUGGGACCCUGGGACCACACCACUCGCUUUGGACAGGAGUUGCUGUACUGUCACAGUACGCUGCGUUCAAGCAGGACAAAGGCUGCUAACUUCUCUUGCCAUUUUUCCUACCAAGAUAAAUAACAGGAGCAGCUAAGGUAAAAACAUAGACAAAUGUGGCAGUUCCUGCUCCCCAACGUCCAGGCCGGGAGAAAGGAGACACAGUGGUCUUGCCACCGGGAUUGCUUCACCGCACAGCGUGUGUGCCGCUUUUCCCACGUGACCACCGGCACUGGAUUUACAUGAUCUUUUUCAAAACCACAGUCUUUUGAAGACAAGAGCAUGACAAAAAGACUGACAAGAAAACCUCACAAAAGUCUUAAGGAAUGUCUUUAUAUUUUUUAUUUGAUUAAUUUCCCAGAAAAGAGCUCGUCACUUUGCUGGAGGGAAGGUGUGGUAGCCAUCCUUAACCCACAUGAAUUAGGGCUUCUGUUAAAUGGGUGCCGCUGGCAUGGUGCCAAUGUGGCCACCUCCAAUGUGCACCUCACCUUUGGUAAAUGGUUCCUGGCCAGGUUAUCUGACAGAUCCAUUUGUCAGGUUGUGCUGGAUUAAUUGUGGGCUCUGAUCCUCAGUCCUAUGAAAUAUGUUAGGAUGAUGUGCAUGUGUUAUCUUGCUAAUUACAGUAAUUUCAUGAUUAUAAGCCGCACCUGAUUGUAAGCCGCACUUCCGGGUGUCAGCAACGUUUCGUUCUUUGUCCAUAUAUAAACUGCACCGGAUUAUAAGCCGCACUUUCGUUCGCAGUGAAGUAACCAAUUUUUAACAAUCACGCAAUUGCGGGUUUUACUGGCAGGUGCUCAAUUCGUGAACUCCGCUCCCCCUGCGGUGCCGGCGGGAGCCCCCGCUUUACCCCCAGUAUAAUGUAGCCACAAAGUAGGCAAGUAACAAGGAGCAAAUUUCUGGAGACAAGGCAGCACAUCAGAUCAAGGUCAGAUAAAAAAUGGAGCUGAGCUACUGCCAGUUGCUUUGUCAAGACCAGAAAGGGGAACUGAAGCCAGUUUUCUUGAAGCCAUCAGAGCUUGUGUUGACGAAGAAAGCCACAGAAGCUGAAAAGAGGUCAGGGAGCAAUGCAUGUUGGAGCCAGGACAGGGGAGUAACAGCAUCAAGCACCUGAAGAGGAAGACAAAGAACAAUGGCAAUGUGGGAUUCCUCCAGCAUCUUCCCAGUCACAGGAGCAUGUCUGCUGUCAUUGCACCAAGAGCUGCACAACUUGAAGACAGAUUUUUGUACCAUUAUAAUUAAAACUCUUAUACACAGACAGUAGUUAGAUAAUCUAGUUCAUCACUUAUAUGUAGUUUGGAAGGGUGCUCAUCAUAGCUAUGUAGAACUGUUUCCACAGCUAAGCCUUACUGAAAAGAGGCAAUGUAACACUUACAGUGAAGCGUCGUGUUCAGUUCUACUUAAGGGACUUACAGUAAUUUCACAAUUAUAAGCUGCACCUGAUUAUAAGCCACACUUCUGGGU